GGGGGAACCUGCGGAAGGAUCAUUA
rnacentral:rRNA from 1 species